rnacentral:rRNA from 1 species
CCUACGGGAGGCAGCAGUGGGGAAUCUUGCGCAAUGGGCGAAAGCCUGACGCAGCAACGCCGCGUGCGGGAAGAAGGCUCUCGGGUUGUAAACCGCUUUCAGCAGGAACGAAAAUGACGGUACUUGCAGAAGAAGGUGCGGCCAACUACGUGCCAGCAGCCGCGGUGACACGUAGGCACCAAGCGUUGUCCGGAUUUAUUGGGCGUAAAGAGCUCGUAGGCGGUUCGGUAAGUCAGGUGUGAAAACUUUGGGCUCAACCCAAAGCCUGCAUCUGAUACUGCUGUGACUAGAGUUCGGUAGGGGAGCGGGGAAUUCCUAGUGUAGCGGUGAAAUGCGCAGAUAUUAGGAGGAACACCGGUGGCGAAGGCGCCGCUCUGGGCCGAAACUGACGCUGAGGAGCGAAAGCGUGGGUAGCAAACAGGAUUAGAUACCCUGGUAGUCCACGCCGUAAACGUUGGGCACUAGGUGUGGGUUUCAACCAACGAAAUCCGCGCCGUCGCUAACGCAUUAAGUGCCCCGCCUGGGGAGGUACGGCCGCGAGUAAACGUACGAAGAAGUGAGG